CACAUUUGUUCAAAGAGGCGAGCGUAUCCCUCACAAAUGCUCUUUCCACUCUGUAGGACAUCUUGGGGAUUGAAAGACUGAUUCUCUUUAUUGAAGAAACCUACGACAUCAUAUUCUAGAGGAACAAUGGAACAAACUAUAUUCCAAAAAUUUGGAAGCUGCAUAAUCAGAAGUAUCUCAUGGAUCCAAUCUGGGUCAGGCAAGCAGAAUGGGUACCUACAAUUAUUUAUUACAAGAUGUCUGCAACACGGUGGGAAGAGAAAGGAAGAAACAAGGUACAAGACCAACCACAUGGUUUUUGCCGUACAUUAAAAACAUUUUGGAAGCUGUAGAACACAAUUUCUGAGAUCUGCAAGUGGGCAUUGUACACCGCCCAGAGGUUAACAUAUGAGGAUAAACUAUGCAUUGUAAAGAUCAUUUGGAGGUGGGAAAUACUUCCAAUAUAAACUAACAAAUCCCCUGCAUGGAUUGCCCCUGUGACUAUGUGGGAUUAUACAGGGAGGAAGUUAACCACCAGAUUGCAAGAACACAAGUGAGCAGACAGAUAAGGAGACUCAAUCUCAUUGGUAGCCUCACAUGGCAAUAACUUAUAUUAAAUUUUGCAGCUACUAAGAUUGUUGGAGCGGGUACAAAAACAGGGAAGUGAUUGACAGGGCUCCUUGUCAUUCAACAAGAAUGUUGAUUUGCCACCUUCUUAUUAAGUACUUAUCAAAGUGAGGACAGCACAAGCAAGCGACAGCCAAUGACUUAAUAACCAGACAUCAACACCCCAAUCAACAUCUAAAACAUUACAAACAAUAGGCACCACACAGAAUACCACACACAGAAUAGCACACACUCUGCUAGAGAGAUGUUCCCUGAAGAUGGGCUCCAAAACAAGUCUGAAAGCUCAGAAUUUGGUCCUGGUGACUGACCCAGAUUGAAUCAUGCAACAUUAUCCUGGAACAUGUGUAUUCACCUUCAUUCGUGAGAAAUAUCUCAUUGAUAGGAGUCCUUGGUGCUCUCUGAGCUUGUUUGUUUUCUUGGAGAUAUUUCAUUGUCUGAAAGAAUGUCUGCAAGAAAACAACCAAGCUCAGCGAGCACCAAGGACUUCUCAUUUCAUUCCUGAGCUACAGAUAUUCUCCUUUAUUGGCAUCUAUCUUGGGUUGUGAAUGUAUUUGUAAUAAAUAUUUAUCAACUUAUAUUGAGUUACCAAUGUGAUUUUCUUUGCAAAAAUGGAAAUAAAUCCUGAGGGUCCCCCUGAAAGUGAGACAUCUAGGGAAUUUAGAAGAUUUGAGAUGUUUCUUCAAAAGCUUCUAUAGUCUUGUGACUUUAAUGAUAAAAAUGGAUGCAAAUUUGAAAAUUGUUAAGGAGGAAGAUCAGAAAAAUGUCUAGGGAAAAUACCUUAACAAAAUGACAGAAUAUAUGACACAAAGGCAAAAAUGUUUAAGUUUGGUCCUGGCAUCUUCAGUUAAUAGGUUGGAGAGCAGGGAAAUUUCCUAUUGUGUACUGCUAACAGAUAAGGCUGAUGUACCGUGUUCUUCAGCUUUCCAGUUUCAAGAUAGUAGAAAUUGGAGACUUGCUGAUGGUCAAUGCAGUCCAAACAAGGAUAGAUGGGAAAAUGAUUUUAGCUUGUUCUAAGACAGUUUCUUGUAUUUCUAAAAUUUAGCAAUAUGAUUUGGAAAUGGUUGAUGUUUUACCUAAUUAGAAUGGAACUCAUAUAUUUCAAAAAUCUCUUUCUUAACAUGAUCCUUGUAAAACAUGCUGGACCUCAGCUCUUAUAAACGCUUUUUGCUCACUUUUAUAGAAAAAGCCCAUUUAGACAGCAUCAGAUGGGAACGUUUGCCAGGAUCCAUCAAUGGAACAUUUAUUCUGUCUCCCUCACACUUCUCAAGCAACUGGACACUCAAGGGAAGUACAGGUGCUGCCGAAGAAAGCUAUAGUGACUGAAGGAGGAUAUUUUAGGAUUUAACCUCAUUUCUAGGCUGCAAUGAGUGAAGGCAAAACUUCAAGCAAGAAAGGAUGGACCCGUGAGCCGCCUAAUGUGCUGAGCAGCCAUCUGUCUGUCUUAACUAGCACUCAGCACCAGACAUCUGUCUCUUUAAUAAGCUUGUUGUAUAUAUGGCCUUUUACUGAAGAGAGCUAUUACGGUAACCUAAAGAGAGCUAAAGCAGAUUUAUGCAUUUAAGAGGUUCCUACUCUGCAUAUCUCUGAAAAUUACUUUUUACCAUUUGGGAGCAUGGUCAUUCUUUAAAUUGGUGGUCUGUUUUGCUCUUUGUCAGACUAUAACUGAAAAGGCUCCAAACAGCAGCAGAAUUCACAAAAAGUCAGACAAUGAUAUAAAGAUACCAUCAAUAGCUGGAAUUCUGUACCAGGCUGCUAGUGCAUUGCUAGUGCAUUUUAAAAAAAAUAUAAAUAAUGCUGCGCUUAAAUGUUUAGAUGGCCUAGAUAUUGGUAUUUGAACAUAGAUAUUUUCAACAUUUGUAUUUUAUUGUGUUUUACUAAUCUAGGUGAAAUGUUAAUAUAUAUUACUAGUCCAUGUAUGAUAUGCCAUAUGCUAAAUAAAUAAAUGCAUUGUUCCAUUUGAGCAAACAAAGGCCACAUCAAAUUCUGGCAGGCACUGUCUGUCCCAGUUUCUGAUACUUCAUUAAAAACUCAUCGUACUACAGUAUUUGCUAUCUCAGCUAAAACAUACACCAAAUGUAAAGGAAUUUAAUUCUACAAAAGUAGCACUGGGAAAGAUCAGAUUAGGAACAUAAAAAGUUUUCUUAAAUUCUACAUUGGAUCUCCAUCCCCUGUAGGGUUGUAAAGCAUUUGAAAUUACAACAGCAUCCAGAUAAUUUUUUAAAAGUUGCUGUCUACCCACCGCUUUCCUCUGACAACUUUUGUUUGCCUUUUAAAAUCUGCUUUGCUUCUUUGUAGAACUACACCAGACCUGGGUUGCAAAAUUUCAGAUAACACUAUGUUUUUUUGUUUUUUUUCAGAUUUGUACUGCAAAAGUCCAAGGACGUGCAGAAAAUGCUCUUUCCUAGGUCAGUGGUUCUCAACCUUAGCAAUUUUUAAGAUGCAUGGACUCCAAAUCUCAGGCUUCUGAUUUUGGGAGCCUGAACGUAUUAAAGUUCCUGGGGGAUAAGAAACACUGACUUAGGUGAUGGCAAAGAACAUUUUCUGCAUGUCCUUGGACUUUUGCAGUACAAAAGGGAAUUAAAGUUCUUAUUCAGGUUGUUGCAUGAAUGAAAUUUGGCCAUCAUCUUCUAAUGCUUAGUGAAAAGACCAGACUAACCUACUUUUCUUUUCAUAUUUAAUAGCAACUAGAAAAAUAAGAAGAAGAUUUGAUAUUUUCUAUUAAGUGCGU